AAAACACUCCUCAAGCAGAUUCAGUAACCGAUCAUUCUGCUUCUCCAUUGCCAUCACCAAAGCUUUCUUCACUACUUCGUGGUUGAAAAAAGGCAUCCCUAGAUCGCGGAUACAUUGACAAGCUUCUGAUGUUACUCCUCCUGUUUCGUAUUCUUCUAGGAGUUUCGAGAUUUUGUCCUUUGCAUCUUCCACUAUCCAGCCGGUUCCACCUCCCCAGCUUCUUAGGAGUCUCUCUCCUGCGUGUCUGGCGGAGAUAAGAGACCUGGCUGAGCGGACUGUUUCGGUUCCGGUUGAUUUUGGAGGCAGCUUGGUUGAGAUAUCUUCAAGGUUAAGUGGAGCUAAGACGUCGUCAAUCACAGCUCUAGCUAAAAACAGAGCAAGUUCGUUUGAUGCGUCCAUGAUAUCUAAAGCUGUGUCUUCUGCCGAUUCCAGGAGCAUAAUGAAACCGUUUAUGAAAUCUUCAGUUGAGAAUAGCUCCAUGUGAAGAGCAGAAAGAAGAACCGAAGCCAUUUCCUUUUCUCUGUUUUUCCUGUCUAGAGCAAGAGUUAUGAGCCUCUUCAGAAACACCGGGUUAUAUUCAGAGGUUAUCUUAAAUGAAUCAUCGAGCCAGCCUCCAGAAAUAGCCUUUGGAACUAUCGAAUCAAACAGCUUUUUGGCAGAUGGGAUAUCUAGAGCAAGGUCAUCGAGACUCUCUGCUACUCGGAAGAAUCCCUUCACCAUUUGACUCGAACUGAUCAGUCCUUCUUCAGCAGUUUCCUUCAACAGCUUUAGUACAAGUGACUCAGCGGUUGGAGAAUCCAUCGCCAGAACCAAAGCCCUCUUCACAACCUCAUGAUGGAAAAACGAGACACCUAAUUCCCUGAUGCAUCUACAAGCUUCGUAAGUGUCUCCGUUUUCCACGUAUUCCUUCAAGAUUUCAGAUAUCUUUUUCUUCGUUUCUUCUACUGUAGUGUGAGUACUACCUCCCCAUUUCUUCUCCACUAGUUCUGCAUGGUGAGGAGCUGAGAGAUAGCUCUUUUCUGCAGUUACAAUAACCUGAAACCCUUUGCAAGAUUCUGGAAGAAUCUUCUUAGAUCUAACCAGAAAAACCGGAGGGAGAAUUUCGUCAACGAUGGCCCGUGCAAUAAACAAUGCAAGGACAUUAACAGCAUCAAGGAUGUCCACCGCAAGGUCAUCAACAGAUCUGAGAAGUCUUAUAAAUCCAUCCCUAAUUUGAUCAGGUAAAAUAACAUCAGCAUACAAUGCAGAGAGUAGCACUGAAGCCAUUUCCUUCUCCUUAUCGUGUCUGUCCAUGGCCAUAGAAACAAGUCGCUUGGUGAAGUAAGGAUGAUAUUCGCUUGAACCAAGUUCCCUGAGGUCAGAUGCCGCCACUUUCACAUCCCCGGUGCUAAAGUAUUCGUCAAUGAUGGAAACUACUGACUUUUUGUAAUCAUUCAACGGGUCUGAUACCGGUGAAUCAACAAGUCCAUCAUAUGCGUCCUGUUAAAUUGAGUAUAUGAAUGAAAAAAGCAAACUACUAA